GACUGCCGGUGACAAACCGGAGGAAGGUGGGGAUGACGUCAAAUCAUCAUGCCCCUUAUGACCUGGGCUACACACGUACUACAAUGGCCGAUACAACGGGAAGCGAAACCGCGAGGUGGAGCCAAUCCUAUCAAAGUCGGUCUCAGUUCGGAUUGCAGGCUGCAACUCGCCUGCAUGAAGUCGGAAUUGCUAGUAAUCGCGGAUCAGCAUGCCGCGGUGAAUACGUUCCCGGGUCUUGUACACACCGCCCGUCACACCACGAGAGUUUACAACACCCGAAGCCGGUGGGGUAACCCGCAAGGGAGCUAGCCGUCGAAGGUGGGGUAGAUGAUUGGGGUGAAGUCGUAACAAGGUAGCCGUAUCGGAAGGUGCGGCUGGAUCACCUCCUUUCUAAGGA
rnacentral:rRNA from 1 species